rnacentral:snRNA from 1 species
AUGCUCCCUUUGGCAGCACAUAUAUAAAAUUAGAAAGAUAGACGAUUAGCAUGGCCCCUGUGCAAAGACACACAAAUUUGUGAGGCAUUUUAUAUUUUU